AAGUCGUAACAAGGUUUCCGUAGGUGAACCUGCGGAAGGAUCAUUAUCGAGUUCUUUGAAGUAAGGCCUUUGAUUAAAUUGAUGCUGGCGGUCCAUUCGCACGUGCUCAUUUGUUGAAGUGUCCUUACGCUCAAAUCCACUCAACCACUGUGCACUUAAUUCGAAGCUUUUUGUGAGUCCUCCGCUUGCGGAGCAGCUCCCUUUCUUUACUGAGGGGUUGAGCCGGGGCUGGCAAUAAGGCUUUCGACUUUAUAAACUACUUUAUUGUCAUGUAGAACGUUAAUUACUAUUGAAAAUACAACUUUCAACAACGGAUCUCUUGGCUCUC
rnacentral:misc_RNA from 1 species